rnacentral:rRNA from 1 species
GAUGAACGCUGGCGGCGUGCUUAACACAUGCAAGUCGAACGAUGAAGCCCAGCUUGCUGGGUGGAUUAGUGGCGAACGGGUGAGUAACACGUGAGUAACCUGCCCUUGACUCUGGGAUAAGCCUGGGAAACUGGGUCUAAUACUGGAUAUGACUUCUCAUCGCAUGGUGGGGGGUGGAAAGAUUUAUUGGUCUUAGAUGGACUCGCGGCCUAUCAGCUUGUUGGUGAGGUAAUGGCUCACCAAGGCGACGACGGGUAGCCGGCCUGAGAGGGUGACCGGCCACACUGGGACUGAGACACGGCCCAGACUCCUACGGGAGGCAGCAGUGGGGAAUAUUGCACAAUGGGCGCAAGCCUGAUGCAGCGACGCCGCGUGAGGGAUGACGGCCUUCGGGUUGUAAACCUCUUUCAGUAGGGAAGAAGCGAGAGUGACGGUACCUGCAGAAGAAGCGCCGGCUAACUACGUG